AUUGAACGCUGGCGGAAUGCUUUACACAUGCAAGUCGAACGGCAGCACGGGGCAACCUGGUGGCGAGUGGCGAACGGGUGAGUAAUACAUCGGAACGUGCCCAAUCGUGGGGGAUAACGUAGCGAAAGUUACGCUAAUACCGCAUACGAUCUACGGAUGAAAGCGGGGGAUCGCAAGACCUCGCGCGAAUGGAGCGGCCGAUGUCAGAUUAGGUAGUUGGUGGGGUAAAGGCUCACCAAGCCGACGAUCUGUAGCUGGUCUGAGAGGACGACCAGCCACACUGGGACUGAGACACGGCCCAGACUCCUACGGGAGGCAGCAGUGGGGAAUUUUGGACAAUGGGCGCAAGCCUGAUCCAGCCAUUCCGCGUGCAGGAUGAAGGCCUUCGGGUUGUAAACUGCUUUUGUACGGAACGAAACGGUUCUCUCUAAUACAGGGGCGUAAUGACGGUACCGUAAGAAUAAGACACCGGCUAACUACGUG
rnacentral:rRNA from 1 species